AUGCCUUGCGAUGGCGACAAGGAGUCGAAAGGCCGCCUGAACGCGGUCAACAUCGCUGCCCGCGUCGCCGCCAUGGGGCUCGCCGUGGCGUCGGCGGCUCUCAUGGUCACGGCCAGCCAGUGCACCGUCGUCCUCCCGAACGGCGCCGAGGCACACACCGUCACUUACAGCGACUUCGGCCCCUUUGUGUACCUGGUGGUGGCGAACGCCAUUGCGGCGGUCAUGGUGGGGGUGGCCAUCUUCCUGAGCGUGUGGAAGAAGGGCAGUGCCAAGUGCUCCAGGGUGCUCGUGCCGCUCCUCGACGUCGCCGCGCCGGCGCUGCUCUACUCGGCGACCGGCGCCGCCUUCGCCACCAGCGAGUACAUGUCCUACUGCUCACCCGGCCGCGGCCGCAUCAGCGUCUGCGAUGGCACCGUCCGGGGCACAAAUAACUUCUGCAGCCAGGUGCACAUGGCCAUGUACAUCUCGCUGUCCGCCGCCGGUGCCGUGUCGGCCGCGGAGCUGGUGAAGAACUUGACGCUGCCCUUCGGCAGCUCCGGGUCGGACUCCGACUCGGACGCCGGCUGCGAGCAUGGGUGCCACCACAAGCAUUAG
rnacentral:rRNA from 1 species